CGGGGGGGGCAAGCGUUGUUCGGAGUUACUGGGCGUAAAGGGCUCGUAGGUGGCCAACUAAGUCAGACGUGAAAUCCCUCGGCUUAACCGGGGAACUGCGUCUGAUACUGGAUGGCUUGAGUUUGGGAGAGGGACGCGGAAUUCCAGGUGUAGCGGUGAAAUGCGUAGAUAUCUGGAGGAACACCGGUGGCGAAGGCGGCGUCCUGGACCAAUACUGACACUGAGGAGCGAAAGCCAGGGGAGCAAACGGGAUUAGAUACCCCGGUAGUCCUGGCCCUAAACGAUGAAUGCUUGGUGUGGCGGGUAUCGAUCCCUGCCGUGCCGAAGCUAACGCAUUAAGCAUUCCGCCUGGGGAGUACGGUCGCAAGGCUG
rnacentral:rRNA from 1 species